UAGAGCGCCAGUCUAGUAAACUGGAGGUCGCGAGUUCGAAUCUCGCUGGAGCCU
rnacentral:tRNA from 1 species